rnacentral:rRNA from 1 species
GUUAUGUGUGACAACCCCUUU